GAUGAACGCUGGCGGCGUGCCUAAUACAUGCAAGUAGAACGCUGAAGCUUGGUGCUUGCCCCGAGCGGAUGAGUUGCGAACGGGUGAGUAACGCGUAGGUAACCUGCCUCUUAGCGGGGGAUAACUAUUGGAAACGAUAGCUAAUACCGCAUAAAAGUCGAUAUCGCAUGAUAUUGAUUUGAAAGGUGCAAAUGCAUCACUAAGAGAUGGACCUGCGUUGUAUUAGCUAGUUGGUGAGGUAACGGCUCACCAAGGCGACGAUACAUAGCCGACCUGAGAGGGUGAUCGGCCACACUGGGACUGAGACACGGCCCAGACUCCUACGGGAGGCAGCAGUAGGGAAUCUUCGGCAAUGGGGGCAACCCUGACCGAGCAACGCCGCGUGAGUGAAGAAGGUUUUCGGAUCGUAAAGCUCUGUUGUAAGAGAAGAACGAGUGUGAGAGUGGAAAGUUCACACUGUGACGGUAACUUACCAGAAAGAGACGGCUAACUACGUG
rnacentral:rRNA from 1 species